GUUCUAGACCCGAAGCGGUGUGAUCUAUCCAUGGCCAGGAUGAAGCGUCGGUAAGACGUCGUGGAGGUCCGAACCCACUUCAGUUGAAAAUGGAGGGGAUGAGUUGUGGAUAGGGGUGAAAGGCCAAUCAAACACCGUGAUAGCUGGUUCUCCCCGAAAUGCAUUUAGGUGCAGCGUUGCGUGGUUCUUGUUGGAGGUAGAGCACUGGAUGGUCUAGGGGGCUUAUCGGCUUACCGAAAUCAGCCAAACUCCGAAUGCUGGCAAGUGUAGCGUGGCAGUGAGACGGCGGGGGAUAAGCUUCGUCGUCGAGAGGGAAACAGCCCAGAUCAUCAGCUAAGGCCCCUAAGUGGUGACUCAGUGGGAAAGGAUGUGGAGUUGCGUAGACAACCAGGAGGUUGGCUUGGAAGCAGCCAUCCUUGAAAGAGUGCGUAAUAGCUCACUGGUCAAGUGAUUCCGCGCCGAUAAUGUAGCGGGGCUUAAGUUAUCCGCCGAAGCUGUGGCAACCUGUGUGGUUGGGUAGGGGAGCGUCGUGUCAGUGGUGAAGCUGCCGGGUGACUGUGUGGUGGAGUUGAUGCGAGUGAGAAUGCAGGCAUGAGUAGCGUGUGACGGGUGGGAAUCCCGUCCGCCGAUUAUCCAAGGGUUCCAGGGUCAAGUUUGUCUGCCCUGGGUGAGUCGGGUCCUAAGGCGAGGCCGACAGGCGUAGUCGAUGGGUAACCAGUUGAUAUUCUGGUACCGGCUUGUCACCGUCCGUGUCGAGGUGUGUGAUGCUAAGCAUGUGAGCUUGUCUUGGGAGUGUUUUUGAUGCUUCUGGGGUGGGUGAGUGUGUGAACCGAUCAUGUAGUAGGCAAGCUGCGGAGGGACGCAGUGAGGUAGCUCAUCCCCGGUGAUGGUUGUCCGGGGCUAAGUGUGUGGACUGUCUGGUAGGUAAAUCCGCUGGGCGUGAAGGUUGAGGCAUGAUGGGGAGCCCAUGGUUGUGGGUGAGUGAGUGAUCCUGUACUGUCGAGAAAAGCUUCGUGAGCGAGGUGGCGGGUCCGCCCGUACCCUAAACCGACACUGGUGGAUAGGUAGAGUAUACCGAGGCGAUCGAGUGAAUCGUGGUGAAGGAACUCGGCAAAAUGCCCCCGUAACUUUGGGAUAAGGGGGACCUGAGCUGUCGUGCACCCGUGCGGUGUGGUGGCGGUGAGGGGCGCAGAGUCCAGGGGGAAACGACUGUUUACCAAAAACACAGGUCCGUGCGAAGUCGUAAGACGAUGUAUACGGACUGACUCCUGCCCGGUGCUGGAAGGUUAAGGGGAACUGUGAGUGUAUGCGUAGCGGUGAACUUAAGCCCCAGUAAACGGCGGUGGUAACUAUAACCAUCCUAAGGUAGCGAAAUUCCUUGUCGGGUAAGUUCCGACCUGCACGAAUGGAGUAACGAUUUCCCUACUGUCUCCACCAUGAACUCGGUGAAAUUGCAUUACGAGUAAAGAUGCUCGUUACG
rnacentral:rRNA from 1 species